CGCUGAAGCACCUUCGGGUGUGGAUGAGUGGCGAACGGGUGAGUAACACGUGGGUAACCUGCCCUGUACUUUGGGAUAAGCCCUGGAAACGGGGUCUAAUACCGAAUAUGACUCGCUAAGGCAUCUUGGUGGGUGGAAAGUUUCGGCGGUACAGGAUGGGCCCGCGGCCUAUCAGCUUGUUGGUGGGGUAGUGGCCUACCAAGGCGACGACGGGUAGCCGGCCUGAGAGGGUGACCGGCCACACUGGGACUGAGACACGGCCCAGACUCCUACGGGAGGCAGCAGUGGGGAAUAUUGCACAAUGGGCGGAAGCCUGAUGCAGCGACGCCGCGUGAGGGAUGACGGCCUUCGGGUUGUAAACCUCUUUCGCCAGGGACGAAGCGCAAGUGACGGUACCUGGAGAAGAAGCACCGGCUAACUACGUGCCAGCAGCCGCGGUAAUACGUAGGGUGCAAGCGUUGUCCGGAAUUAUUGGGCGUAAAGAGCUCGUAGGCGGCUUGUCGCGUCUGCUGUGAAAAUCCGGGGCUUAACUCCGGACCUGCAGUGGAUACGGGCAGGCUUGAGUUCGGUAGGGGAGACUGGAAUUCCUGGUGUAGCGGUGAAAUGCGCAGAUAUCAGGAGGAACACCGGUGGCGAAGGCGGGUCUCUGGGCCGAUACUGACGCUGAGGAGCGAAAGCGUGGGGAGCGAACAGGAUUAGAUACCCUGGUAGUCCACGCUGUAAACGUUGGGCGCUAGGUGUGGGCGACUUCCACGUUGUCCGUGCCGUAGCUAACGCAUUAAGCGCCCCGCCUGGGGAGUAC
rnacentral:rRNA from 1 species